rnacentral:rRNA from 1 species
UACGUAGGGUGCGAGCGUUAAUCGGAAUUACUGGGCGUAAAGCGUGCGUAGGCGGUUCGUUAAGUUCGUUGUGAAAGCCCCGGGCUCAACCUGGGAAUGGCAAUGGAAACUGGCGGGCUGGAGUAUGGCAGAGGGGGAUGGAAUUCCGCGUGUAGCAGUGAAAUGCGUAGAUAUGCGGAGGAACACCGAUGGCGAAGGCAAUCCCCUGGGCCUGUACUGACGCUCAUGCACGAAAGCGUGGGGAGCAAACAGG